rnacentral:rRNA from 1 species
AUGUGGCAUGAUCUUUUGAAAGAUUUAGAGAGACGUGGCAGUAUGUUGAGAAAGAUGUGCCAGUAUGUUCAGACAUGUUUGUAUGUGACUGUAGACCAACGAAUUAUGUUCAGUACUGGCUUACAAAGUACAAAUAUUUUGCUAUCUGAUUUGCUAUGUGACUGUAGACCAACUGAAGGAAAAUAUGCUAUCUUCAGUACUGGCUUACACAGUACAAUCUUUUGCAAUCUGACUAUAUGUACAGCAAGAAGCACAUGUUGUGCAUUUUCAGUGACAGUAAAUAGUUCCAAAAUCUCUGCUUGUAUCUCUCCUGGGUAA